UCCCCGCAAUUUCCCCGGGUCGGAGAACCACGGGCCGAAUUGGCCCGAGUAGAUCGACCGCGUCGUUUGGACCGCGUCACACGAGGGGUAACCAUGCCCGAUCCACGUUCUUUCCACGGGGAGGGAAGCCACGACCCUAGACAUCGGGGAGGAAAACCACGGCUCGAGAUAACGACGGCGCCGUCGACCAAGAUCCAGUGCCCUGCCUGGCUGCCUCCUCCGCGUCCGAGCUCCUCCAUCGGCGACAUAAGCGACGCCCUCGACCCCCUCCUUCUGUUGCUCAGGAUUCAAGCUCCGCCCCUCCAGCAACGGUGAUGGACCGUGGCCGUCACCGUCCUCCUUCCCCGGAUCUCUACUCCACCUCUAAGCUCCGGCCUCCUCCGGCGACCGCGACGACGACGGUUCUCUGUUCGUUUUCUACCUCCUCCGGUCAAGAUCCAGGAAAGUGAGCACAGCCUCCUCUCAGAUCAUUUUCACCAUCGUCAAUCUCAGGUGAGCACUAGAUCUGUGCACAAUGUUUGGUUGCUGAUGUUUUAGUGGUUGUCCAGAAGAACUACACAAUGCUAGAUCCCAGAAUGUUUUAUUUUCUUGUUCAAGCUUCUUGCCUAGAGUCCACGUAUCAUACCUGUGGCUCAGUUUUCGUUUUCAUAGCUAUGUCUCGUGCUCAUCAGACUUUAUGCAUGUCGCUGCUCCUUUGUGAAUGGGCAUAUUAAACACAUUGACAUGUUCUUAUAGCAAGUAUGAAUAAUGCUUGGUAGAUCAGUAGAUGGUACAUGUUGUGUGUUAUAAAUUUAUAAUUCCUUUGAUCAGUAACCAGAACAUUGGACUCUCCAGAGAUUAUAUUCUGUCUAUGAUAAGAGCAAGAAUUUUUAUACCCAUGCAUACUAGGACAAAGCGGCUGUGCUUUUCCUUCCACCGGGAUCUCGAUGGCGAGAGGAAUCUAUGCCAUGUCCAACCAUGGCGACGACCCGGUGUUCGUCUUGCUCCUCCCCUCUUCCACCUCAUAUAGCUUCUUGUCAUCAUGUCCCUGCAAUGAUAGUUGUUGCUCCAGAUCCAAGACGUGAUUGCACUCAGGAAUUAUUAUGGUCCGGAGUACAAAUCUUGGAGCGCGGUGAGCACAUAUUCCAUAUCUUCCCAAGAACAACUAUUUUUUGUACUAUUUGAUUUGUCCACGCGAUGCAUAGAGAGUCUCUCUUUAAGCCUGAAUGCAUGUAGUCUCUCUUGUCCUAAUCAACAUUAGUUGAAAGAGAUGGAGCAGAGCGAGAUCUCUUGGGUGAAAAAACGUAUAUUGGUUUAUGCAUAGUUUUCUAAUUUUGCAGCUCUUGUGCCGGAGGUUUAUUUUUUAAAAUCAAGUAAUAGCAGUGAAUAACAGAUUUUAGGCCACUAAUUAUGUAACCUCCUAGAUAUUGAUCAGAAUUUCUGAGUCCCCACCUAAUUCUACCUGCAAAACUCUGCCUAACCAACAAUAAAUUAGUUAAUCUUUGAGUUCAUUAUCCUUUUUUUCUGUAACAAUCCCCUUGCAUUUCUAAUGUAGCCACGAUUAAUUGCCUAGGUUUAUCAGUUGGGUUCUUAUCAUUUUGCAGCGGUCAUAGUGAAGUCAUGUACUCUUCAGAGGUACUCAUGCCUUUGCUGCUUUUCGUUGAUGCUUCCUCUGCUUUGGAAGUGCAAAACUAUGAUCUUGGUGUGAAUUAUUCUAGCCAUUUUAGUAUCUUGAUCAUGCCAACGGUAUAUGCUAUGUUUUACAAUCACUAGUUGGUCCAUGUGUUUUCUUGGUUACUUCUCUGAAAUAAUUUUUUGAUUGCCAACUAUCAUGUUCAAUGCACCCUAGUGACCAAUAUUUAAUUUGACUGCAGAAGAAACAUUUUGCUGUAUGGUACAUGCUCUUAUCCAUUUCAUUGUUUCAGUAGUAUGGUGUAUUGCAUUUCAGACUUUUCUGUGUAGUGCAUUUUUAUACUUUAUGGGUGAACUGAUUAAGUCACUUUUGUCUAUGUUUUAGACUAAUUACAUUGCAAUUUAACUGUAGGUAUGUGCUUCAAUGUCAACUUAUCGAAGGCAGCAAGUGCCCCUAAAACAUCGAGCUGCGGUACCUGAUGUCGAUGUGGAGUGGGGAACCAAUUGAGCAAAACUAUUGACCGUCACCUUGCAGCUCAUCUUCUUCAGUAGUGUGUCCGCCUCUUGGGAAUUUAGAGUUUUUUGUAUUGUACUCCCUCCGUCCGAAAAUACUUGUCAUCAAAAUGAAUAACAGGGGAUGUAUCUAGACGUAUAUUAGUUCUAGAUACAUCAUUUUUUAUUCAUUUUGAUGACAAGUAUUUUCGGACGGAGGGAGUACAACUCAUUAGCUCCUAUGCUUAUGCUAUAGCUAACCUUUUGCAUUAGUUGUAAUGGUGCGGUCCUAAAAAUUGAGUACCAAUCUUAACAAUGAUGGAUCAUAUUAGGUGUAAUGUAUAUGUAUUGCACACGAAAAUGAUUUAGGCUAUCACUUGAUAGCGGUGAAAUACAGACCAAUAUCUUAACCUUGAUGAAGCGAUGAAAUAUCAGUUGUAUUAUUUUUGGAAAUUUAUUUAUUGAAUUCUGAUUUUUGUA